rnacentral:tRNA from 1 species
CACUGUAAAGCUACCCAGCAUUAACCUUUUAAGUUAAAGAUUGAGAGAACCCCCUCUCUCUACAGUGA